rnacentral:rRNA from 1 species
UGGGGGAUAACGUCCGGAAACGGGCGCUAAUACCGCAUACGUCCUACGGGAGAAAGUGGGGGAUCUUCGGACCUCACGCUAUUAGAUGAGCCUAGGUCGGAUUAGCUAGUUGGUGAGGUAAUGGCUCACCAAGGCUACGAUCCGUAACUGGUCUGAGAGGAUGAUCAGUCACACUGGAACUGAGACACGGUCCAGACUCCUACGGGAGGCAGCAGUGGGGAAUAUUGGACAAUGGGCGAAAGCCUGAUCCAGCCAUGCCGCGUGUGUGAAGAAGGUCUUCGGAUUGUAAAGCACUUUAAGUUGGGAGGAAGGGCAGUUACCUAAUACGUGAUUGUUUUGACGUUACCGACAGAAUAAGCACCGGCUAACUCUGUGCCAGCAGCCGCGGUAAUACAGAGGGUGCAAGCGUUAAUCGGAAUUACUGGGCGUAAAGCGCGCGUAGGUGGUUUGUUAAGUUGGAUGUGAAAGCCCCGGGCUCAACCUGGGAACUGCAUCCAAAACUGGCAAGCUAGAGUAUGGUAGAGGGUGGUGGAAUUUCCUGUGUAGCGGUGAAAUGCGUA